rnacentral:rRNA from 1 species
UGGGGAAUUUUGGACAAUGGGGGCAACCCUGAUCCAGCCAUGCCGCGUGAGUGAAGAAGGCCUUCGGGUUGUAAAGCUCUUUCGGGAGGAACGAAACGGUCUAGGGGAAUAUCCUGGGCUAAUGACGGUACCUCAAGAAGAAGCACCGGCUAACUACGUGCCAGCAGCCGCGGUAAUACGUAGGGUGCGAGCGUUAAUCGGAAUUACUGGGCGUAAAGCGUGCGCAGGCGGUUUGUUAAGUCAGAUGUGAAAUCCCCGAGCUUAACUUGGGAACUGCGUUUGAGACUGGCAAGCUAGAGUCUGUCAGAGGGGGGUAGAAUUCCACGUGUAGCAGUGAAAUGCGUAGAUAUGUGGAGGAAUACCGAUGGCGAAGGCAGCCCCCUGGGACAUGACUGACGCUCAUGCACGAAAGCGUGGGGAGCAAACAGG